UAAGACUCACCAGGAAUGCAAUCUUUCUAU
rnacentral:piRNA from 1 species